CCUACGGGUGGCAGCAGUGGGGAAUAUUGGACAAUGGGGGGAACCCUGAUCCAGCCAUGCCGCGUGUGUGAAGAAGGCCCUCGGGUUGUAAAGCACUUUCAGUGAGGAAGAACGCCUGGUGGUUAAUACCCAUCAGGAAAGACAUCACUCACAGAAGAAGCACCGGCUAACUCCGUGCCAGCAGCCGCGGUAAUACGGAGGGUGCGAGCGGUAAUCGGAAUUACUGGGCGUAAAGCGCGCGUAGGUGGCUUGAUAAGCCGGUUGUGAAAGCCCCGGGCUCAACCUGGGAACGGCAUCCGGAACUGUCAAGCUAGAGUGCAGGAGAGGAAGGUAGAAUUCCCGGUGUAGCGGUGAAAUGCGUAGAGAUCGGGAGGAAUACCAGUGGCGAAGGCGGCCUUCUGGACUGACACUGACACUGAGGUGCGAAAGCGUGGGUAGCAAACAGGAUUAGAUACCCCUGUAGUC
rnacentral:rRNA from 1 species